UCCCAGUCGUCGUCUUAUUUCCAUGUGUUUCACUCCAGCUGACUCCUCCUCUCCAGGUGAGUCUAGUCUGUGUGUUUCACUACAGCUGACUCCACCUCUCCAGGUGAGUCUAGUCUGUGUGUUUCCCUCCAGGUGUCUCCUCCUCUCCAGGUGAGUCUAGUCUGUGUGUUUCCCUCCAGGUGUCUCCUCCUCUCCAGGUGAGUCUAGUCCGUGUGUUUCACUCCAGGUCAGUCUAGUCUGUGUUUUUCACUACAGGUACAGGUUUGUUCUUGUCUCCAGUUGGGUGGUGGCUCCUCUCCAGAGUUGGUGUUCUCUCUCUCUCUGGGUUCUGCUCUUCAGAGCCUCGGCGCUGCAUGAACCGUGUUCCUGUGGUUCCUCGGGUUAAAGUCCAACUGGGACGCGGUCGAUCCUUCCUGUUUAAGACCUCCCCUCCCCCUAGCAGGCACCAUGUGACCUGCUCAUUACCAUACAGAGAGCAGCAUUCCUCAGACUCCUCU